CCUAUCUUUUGAUUGAGCAGUUUUGAAUCUCUCUUUUUGCAGAAUCUGCUGCUGGAUGUUUGGAGAGCUUUGAGGCCUACAGUGGAAAAGGAAAUAUCUUCACAUAAAAACUACACAGAAUCAUUCUGAGAAACUUCUUUGUGAAGUGUGCAUUCAACUCACAGAGUUGAACUUGUCUUCUCAUUGAGCAGUUUUGAAUCUCUCUUUUUGUAGAAUCUGCAAGUGGAUAAUUGGAGCCCUUUGCACCCUGUGGUGGAAAAGGAAAUAUCUUCAAAUAAAAACUACACAGAAGCAUUCAGACAAACUUCUUUGUGAUGUAUGCAUUCAACUCACAGAGGUGAACCUAACUUUUGAUUGAGCAGUUUUGAAUCUCUCUUUAUGCAGAAUCUGCAGGUGGAUAUUAGGAGCCCUUUGAGGCCUACUGUGGAAAAGCAAAUAUCUUCACAUAAAAACUACACAGAAGCAUUCUGAGAAACUUCUUUGGG
rnacentral:lncRNA from 10 species